rnacentral:rRNA from 1 species
AUGCCGCGUGUAUGAAGAAGGCCUUCGGGUUGUAAAGUACUUUCAGUUGUGAGGAAGGGGGUGUCGUUAAUAGCGGCAUCUCUUGACGUUAGCAACAGAAGAAGCACCGGCUAACUCCGUGCCAGCAGCCGCGGUAAUACGGAGGGUGCGAGCGUUAAUCGGAAUUACUGGGCGUAAAGCGCAUGCAGGUGGUUCAUUAAGUCAGAUGUGAAAGCCCGGGGCUCAACCUCGGAACUGCAUUUGAAACUGGUGAACUAGAGUACUGUAGAGGGGGGUAGAAUUUCAGGUGUAGCGGUGAAAUGCGUAGAGAUCUGAAGGAAUACCAGUGGCGAAGGCGGCCCCCUGGACAGAUACUGACACUCAGAUGCGAAAGCGUGGGGAGCAAACAGGAUUAGAUACCCUGGUAGUCCACGCCGUAAACGAUGUCUACUUGGAGGUUGUGGCCUUGAGCCGUGGCUUUCGGAGCUAACGCGUUAAGUAGACCGCCUGGGGAGUACGGUCGCAAGAUUAAAACUCAAAUGAAUUGACGGGGGCCCGCACAAGCGGUGGAGCAUGUGGUUUAAUUCGAUGCAACGCGAAGAACCUUACCUACUCUUGACAUCCAGAGAAGCCAGCGGAGACGCAGGUGUGCCUUCGGGAGCUCUGAGACAGGUGCUGCAUGGCUGUCGUCAGCUCGUGUUGUGAAAUGUUGGGUUAAGUCCCGCAACGAGCGCAACCCUUAUCCUUGUUUGCCAGCGAGUAAUGUCGGGAACUCCAGGGAGACUGCCGGUGAUAAACCGGAGGAAGGUGGGGACGACGUCAAGUCAUCAUGGCCCUUACGAGUAGGGCUACACACGUGCUACAAUGGCGCAUACAGAGGGCGGCGAACUUGCGAGAGUGAGCGAAUCCCAAAAAGUGCGUCGUAGUCCGGAUUGGAGUCUGCAACUCGACUCCAUGAAGUCGGAAUCGCUAGUAAUCGUAGAUCAGAAUGCUACGGUGAAUACGUUCCCGGGCCUUGUACACACCGCCCGUCACACCAUGGGAGUGGGCUGCAAAAGAAGUGGGUAGUUUAACCUU